rnacentral:lncRNA from 1 species
CUCAAGAGUGAACAAAAAAGCUAGGUUGAAAGGUAAUAAAGGUAGGGUUCAAGCUAUGGGCUUCUCUUCUUGCUAUUUUCGAAAAAAGAUUUCCUCAAAAAGGCAUGUUGGACUCUUUCUUAUUUCAAUUAUAAAUAAAUUGUGAUAUUUACUUGAUAGUCUUAUGUUUUAUUGAUUGUUUAAUAAUCUAGGGUUGAGGAAUUUGGUUAUCAUAUACUUGCAUUGAUUUCUCCUUGUCUUAAUGGUAUUUACAUGGUUAAUUAUUGGGUUGUAAACGGAAGUGUGGCUUACAAAAGGGAAAUUUUGUUAUCUUGAUUUCAUAAUUGGACAUAGUUUUUGCAUGCUAAAGAUAUGAAGUGGACAUGGUUAAAUAAAUUUAGCAUGGCAUAAUUGAAAUCGCUCGCAAGUCUUGGUAUGACGGUACCAGUGUGAAAAUGUCUUAAUAAAAGACUCCAUGACUAAUGGUAUGUGAAAAAUAUUUUAAUUGGGCUUAAAGAAAAUUGUGUAGCUUCACCCAAAUAAUGUAGUUCCGGGGGACCAACACUUGAAAUCACGUGCGUCAACGUCUUGUCCUGAAAUAUGAAUGACCACUAUGUACUUGCUUCAUACAGUAGUACACAGUUACUUUCUAUUGUCUAUUGGUGACUUUAGCCUAAUCCUCGAUCCAUGAGGACAACAUGGAUUGAGGCCUUUUCGGCAGGACAAAUCGGACCUAUAUAGCACGUGGGUGCUUGAAGGUCAGUGCAAGCUACAUAGUUCAGGAUUAAAUUUUAAAUGGUCAUAUUUCAUGUUCAUUGCCCCUACCCCGACAUUCUGUUAUUUUGAUGGUUGUUGAACAUAUGUUUUAUGACUGAUUUUUAAUAAAUGUAUAUUUUAUUCCUUUUCUUGGGUUGCAUGUCAGUACUGACCGUCUCCGAGUGCUACAUCAUUUCAUGAUAUAUGCUCAGAGGCCUUUUCUUGUGACACUAUGAAACAUUAGGUAAUUCGGUAUUCCUAUUGGACAGCUGGUGAAGUGGUGAGUCUACCAUCAUUCGAAAGGUCUUCUUUCCUUUUUAGUCUUUUCACUUUUUCAGUACUUUUGGUUUUCUUCUGGCAUAAUCGGGGUCAUGUCCCGACUUGAUCUGUAUUUCAUGGUUAGAGGCUUUGUAGACAGUGUU